GUUUAUUAGCCUAUGCUUGCUCACAAUACUCCUUUUCUUUUCUUCAAAUUUUCAGGUUAGCCCACUCAAUGAUAUUGAUAAAUAGUAAAUACAAACCUAGUUGUAGAAUUUUUUAUAUGAUUUGAGUAAUUAAUACUCAUAUAUUUGAUUUGAUUAGUAGGAUUCAGAUAAUGUACUAGUCAUGUCCUUCUGAUUGGUUGAUAAUUGUUUAUUAGAUUUUAGAAUGCUGAUAUUCAAUAAUGUAUAUCAAUUAAUCAAAUAAUACUAUUAUAAUUGCAGUGUCAAUGCAACUAUUGACAAGUAUAAGAAAGCAUGUUCAUAUUCAUCUGGUGCUGGAUCUACUUCCGAGAUUAAUGCUCAGGGGUGUUGAUGAUGAGAAGGAAUAUCAUGUGAAAUGGAAAGAGCUUCCAUAGGACUAAUGCUAUUGGGAGUUUGAGAUAGAUAUUUCAGCAUUUCAACUAGAAAUAAAAAGAUUCAAUAAAUUCCGGUCUAAAUCCAACAAACUUGCCUCCAUGAAGCAAAGAAGUAGUAUUAAGGAUGAUGUUGAAUUGAAGAAUUACAAUAUGUAAAUUUCGGUCUAGAUCCAGCAAACUUGAUUCCUACAUAUCUCUUUUUAUAUUUCUUGAUUUGGUUACAAAAUUACAAUGCAAACAUUAAUGUUUUAAUUUGUUUAUGACUUUCUUGUUUAUA